UCUCACAUCUGGUGUUUGUGAGAUCGUUGUUUCAUGUCGAUGUGUUAUCCCCCGUCUGGCUUCUGUGUAAGUUUGCGUUUGGAUGUCUGCGUUUCCCUAGAACCUCAUCCACUCUCCGCACGAUCACUCAGCCACGGACACUUACCUUCGGCUCUGUUCCACUCUCUCCUGCUGCUUCACGCCGUCAAGACCCGGACUCCUCACCUACACUCCACUACCAGCUGGAUUUCUCACCUUCCACUGUCUCCCUGGAGUGUUAUCGCCUCAUCGUCUUUAUGUGCUGUCAUUACAACAUCUGUUCCACUAGGCGGUACUGUCAGUUUCAGUUGCAAUGGAAUGGGAAGCAGUUAUGUAAACAUGUACCUCCCUAACAUCCAGACGUAUCUCACUCUCUGUGAGGUGGAAGUUUAUGGAACAGCUUAUAGGGAAAAAGUGUUUCUGAGGAUGAAACUAGCCUCCAGUGUUGACACAACUGCAGUGACCAACACUUCAGGUAAGGAAACAUAUCACAUAAUUUAA
rnacentral:lncRNA from 1 species